rnacentral:rRNA from 1 species
UACGUAGGUGGCAGGCGUUGUCCGGAUUUAUUGGGUUUAAAGGGUGCGUAGGCGGCUUUGUAAGUCAGUGGUGAAAUACGGUAGCUCAACUAUCGAGGUGCCAUUGAUACUGCGGAGCUUGAGUACAGAUGAGGUAGGCGGAAUUGACGGUGUAGCGGUGAAAUGCUUAGAUAUGCCAUAGAACACCAAUUGCGAAGGCAGCUGGCUAGACCUGUAUUGACGCUGAGGCACGAAAGCGUGGGGAGCGAACAGG